rnacentral:rRNA from 1 species
AUUCCAGCUCCAAUAGCGUAUAUUAAAGUUGUUGCAGUUAAAAAGCUCGUAGUUGGAGUUCAGAGUGAGCUCAGCCGGUCCGCCUCAUGGGUGAGUACUGGUCGACUCUCUCUUGUUUGUGAAUCCCGCCCGGAGUUAAUUCUUCGGGAUGUGGAGUUCACAUCGUUUACCUUGAAAAAAUUAGAGUGUUCAAAGCAGGCGUUUGCUUGAAUAUAUUAGCAUGGAAUAAUGGAAUAGGACCCUGGUUCUAUUUUGUUGGUUUUGAGAACCAGAGUAAUGAUUAAUAGGGAUAGUUGGGGGCAUUCAUAUUUCAUUGUCAGAGGUGAAAUUCUUGGAUUUAUGAAAGAUGAACUUCUGCGAAAGCAUUUGCCAAGGAUGUUUUCAUCA